GAUGAACGCUGGCGGCGUGCCUAAUACAUGCAAGUCGAGCGAACAGACGAGGAGCUUGCUCCUCUGACGUUAGCGGCGGACGGGUGAGUAACACGUGGAUAACCUACCUAUAAGACUGGGAUAACUUCGGGAAACCGGAGCUAAUACCGGAUAAUAUAUUGAACCGCAUUGUUCAAUAGUGAAAGACGGUUUUGCUGUCACUUAUAGAUGGAUCCGCGCCGCAUUAGCUAGUUGGUAAGGUAACGGCUUACCAAGGCAACGAUGCGUAACCGACCUGAGAGGGUGAUCGCCCACACGGGAACUGAGACAGGGUCCAGACUCCUACGGGAAGCAACAGUAGGGAAUCUUCCGCAAUGGGCGAAAGCCUGACGGAGCAACACCGCGUGAAGGAUGAAGGUCUUCGGAUCGGAAAACUCUGUUAUUAGGAAAGAACAAAUGUGUAAGUAACUAUGCACAUCUUGACGGUACCUAAUCAAAAAGCCACGGCUAACUACGUG
rnacentral:rRNA from 1 species